rnacentral:rRNA from 1 species
GGGGAAUAUUGCGCAAUGGGGGAAACCCUGAUGCAGCAACGCCGCGUGAGUGAUGACGGUCUUCGGAUUGUAAAGCUCUGUCUUCAGGGACGAUAAUGACGGUACCUGAGGAGGAAGCCACGGCUAACUACGUGCCAGCAGCCGCGGUAAUACGUAGGUGGCAAGCGUUGUCCGGAAUUACUGGGCGUAAAGGGUGCGCAGGCGGACAUUUAAGUGAGAUGUGAAAGACCCGGGCUUAACUUGGGCAGUGCAUUUCAAACUGGAUGUCUGGAGUGCAGGAGAGGAGAACGGAAUUCCUAGUGUAGCGGUGAAAUGCGUAGAGAUUAGGAAGAAUACCAGUGGCGAAGGCGACUUUCUGGACUGUAACUGACACUGAGGCUCGAAAGCGUGGGGAGCAAAC